CUGGUCUAUAAGUGUAAUAUCACCUUCAAUGUAUGACAGAGUAGCAGGAUAUCACAUUGUUUCGGCAUUUGGCAUUUGUUGAAUUCUUUUUCUGCUAUAGCCAUAUGUCAAGAGGUGGCAGAGACACAGACAUCUGCCAAACCCUUAUUCAGUGUCAAAUUAUUCAUAAACAACUUAACAAUGUACAAUGAUAUGGAGCCUGGGGUCUACAGGCUCCAUGACAACAAUGAGAUGAAGUGUUACAUUGCCUAGACUAGAGUGCCCCUUUAAAGAUAUGAGAAAUCUGAAAUUUGAGAUUUUGAAGGCAAACGGAGAGCUUAAAACAUUAACUAUGAGUUGUGCAAUCUACUUUUAAAAUUUUUUUAAGCAUUCUUAGUUUUUAAUGUAUAUUGUUUGCCUGGAUUUCCUGGAAUACCUGAAGUAUACCAUGCACAUUAAUUUAAUACCAAGUUGGUCCAAUAGCAUUUACUGAAAUGAGGGAAUGUGGAACUUUCAUUAUAUAAUGGCAUAGCAGGUUACUCAACAUUAAAAUGUUUAUAUUUCAU